GAUGAACGCUGGCGGCGUGCUUAACACAUGCAAGUCGAGCGGAAAGGCUCCUGCUUGCAGGGGUACUCGAGUGGCGAACGGGUGAGUAACACGUGGGUGAUCUGCCCUGCACUUCGGGAUAAGCCUGGGAAACUGGGUCUAAUACCGGAUAGGACCACAUUUUGGAUGGUGUGGUGGAAAGUUUUUCGGUGUGGGAUGAGCUCGCGGCCUAUCAGCUUGUUGGUGGGGUAAUGGCCUACCAAGGCGUCGACGGGUAGCCGGCCUGAGAGGGUGUACGGCCACAUUUGGACUGAGAUACGGCCCAGACUCCGACGGGAGGCAGCAUGGGGGAAUAUUGCACAAUGGGCGCAAGCCUGAUGCAGCGACGCCGCGUGGGGGAUGACGGCCUUCGGGUUGUAAACUCCUUUCGCUAGGGACGAAGCGUUUUUGUGACGGUACCUGGAGAAGAAGCACCGGCUAACUACGUG
rnacentral:rRNA from 1 species